UACGUAGGGGGCAAGCGUUGUCCGGAAUCAUUGGGCGUAAAGCGAGCGUAGGCGGCCCGAUAAGUCUGCUGUGAAAGUCAACGGCUCAACCGUUGAAAGCCGGUGGAUACUGUCGGGCUAGAGUUCGGAAGAGGCAAGUGGAAUUCCUGGUGUAGCGGUGGAAUGCGCAGAUAUCAGGAGGAACACCCAUAGCGAAGGCAGCUUGCUGGGACGAUACUGACGCUAAGGCUCGAAAGCGUGGGGAGCGAACAGG
rnacentral:rRNA from 1 species